rnacentral:rRNA from 1 species
CGAAUUCGCCCUUAGAGUUUGAUCAUGGCUCAGGAUGAACGCUGGCGGCGUGCCUAAUACAUGCAAGUCGAGCGAACGGACGAGAAGCUUGCUUCUCUGAUGUUAGCGGCGGACGGGUGAGUAACACGUGGAUAACCUACCUAUAAGACUGGGAUAACUUCGGGAAACCGGAGCUAAUACCGGAUAAUAUUUUGAACCGCAUGGUUCAAAAGUGAAAGACGGUCUUGCUGUCACUUAUAGAUGGAUCCGCGCUGCAUUAGCUAGUUGGUAAGGUGACGGCUUACCAAGGCAACGAUGCAUAGCCGACCUGAGAGGGUGAUCGGCCACACUGGAACUGAGACACGGUCCAGACUCCUACGGGAGGCAGCAGUAGGGAAUCUUCCGCAAUGGGCGAAAGCCUGACGGAGCAACGCCGCGUGAGUGAUGAAGGUCUUCGGAUCGUAAAACUCUGUUAUUAGGGAAGAACAUAUGUGUAAGUAACUGUGCACAUCUUGACGGUACCUAAUCAGAAAGCCACGGCUAACUACGUGCCAGCAGCCGCGGUAAUACGUAGGUGGCAAGCGUUAUCCGGAAUUAUUGGGCGUAAAGCGCGCGUAGGCGGUUUUUUAAGUCUGAUGUGAAAGCCCACGGCUCAACCGUGGAGGGUCAUUGGAAACUGGAAAACUUGAGUGCAGAAGAGGAAAGUGGAAUUCCAUGUGUAGCGGUGAAAUGCGCAGAGAUAUGGAGGAACACCAGUGGCGAAGGCGACUUUCUGGUCUGUAACUGACGCUGAUGUGCGAAAGCGUGGGGAUCAAACAGGAUUAGAUACCCUGGUAGUCCACGCCGUAAACGAUGAGUGCUAAGUGUUAGGGGGUUUCCGCCCCUUAGUGCUGCAGCUAACGCAUUAAGCACUCCGCCUGGGGAGUACGACCGCAAGGUUGAAACUCAAAGGAAUUGACGGGGACCCGCACAAGCGGUGGAGCAUGUGGUUUAAUUCGAAGCAACGCGAAGAACCUUACCAAAUCUUGACAUCCUUUGACAACUCUAGAGAUAGAGCCUUCCUCUUCGGGGGACAAAGUGACAGGUGGUGCAUGGUUGUCGUCAGCUCGUGUCGUGAGAUGUUGGGUUAAGUCCCGCAACGAGCGCAACCCUUAAGCUUAGUUGCCAUCAUUAAGUUGGGCACUCUAAGUUGACUGCCGGUGACAAACCGGAGGAAGGUGGGGAUGAGGUCAAAUCAUCAUGCCCCUUAUGAUUUGGGCUACACACGUGCUACAAUGGACAAUACAAAGGGCAGCGAAACCGCGAGGUCAAGCAAAUCCCAUAAAGUUGUUCUCAGUUCGGAUUGUAGUCUGCAACUCGACUACAUGAAGCUGGAAUCGCUAGUAAUCGUAGAUCAGCAUGCUACGGUGAAUACGUUCCCGGGUCUUGUACACACCGCCCGUCACACCACGAGAGUUUGUAACACCCGAAGCCGGUGGAGUAACCUUUUAGGAGCUAGCCGUCGAAGGUGGGACAAAUGAUUGGGGUGAAGUCGUAACAAGGUAACAAGGGCGAAUU